UGCCGCGUGUAUGAAGAAGGCCUUCGGGUUGUAAAGUACUUUCAGCGAGGAGGAAGGCAUUAAGGUUAAUAACCUUGGUGAUUGACGUUACUCGCAGAAGAAGCACCGGCUAACUCCGUGCCAGCAGCCGCGGUAAUACGGAGGGUGCAAGCGUUAAUCGGAAUUACUGGGCGUAAAGCGCACGCAGGCGGUCUGUCAAGUCGGAUGUGAAAUCCCCGGGCUCAACCUGGGAACUGCAUUCGAAACUGGCAGGCUAGAGUCUUGUAGAGGGGGGUAGAAUUCCAGGUGUAGCGGUGAAAUGCGUAGAG
rnacentral:rRNA from 1 species